rnacentral:rRNA from 1 species
GGGUUGUGAGGUUAAGCGACUAAGCGUACACGGUGGAUGCCCUGGCAGUCAGAGGCGAUGAAGGACGUGCUAAUCUGCGAUAAGCGUCGGUAAGGUGAUAUGAACCGUUAUAACCGACGAUUUCCGAAUGGGGAAACCCAGUGUGUUUCGACACACUAUCAUUAACUGAAUCCAUAGGUUAAUGAGGCGAACCGGGGGAACUGAAACAUCUAAGUACCCCGAGGAAAAGAAAUCAACCGAGAUUCCCCCAGUAGCGGCGAGCGAACGGGGAGCAGCCCAGAGCCUGAAUCAGUGUGUGUGUUAGUGGAAGCGUCUGGAAAGGCGCGCGAUACAGGGUGACAGCCCCGUACACAA